AGAAGGUGGGCAGGGCUGCUCCCUGCAUGGAUAUGCAGGGUGUGGAGUACCUGCCCAUCACAGCCUGUUGGCACUGAAGGACUGAGACCGGUGACUUUUGGCCCUAGUUGGGGGUCACUCUCUGGAGAGGACUCAGGGGCCAGAUUAGGCUGCCCCUGCCAUCCUUCCUGGAACCAACCCACCAAGGCUGUACUUGUCAAGAGAGAUAACCAGUGCACUCUCGCCCUACAGGGAGGGGCACAUCUGCAUGCACAACUCCCAGCCUGGUGCAACCAACACCAUGAGCACCGAAGCAGGUCAAGGUGGUGCCUGGGAGACAAGGAAAGUCCCAGAACUGGAACAGCCCCUAACAAGCCCUGCUUAGCCACAGCCAUGAGCAUCCCCAGGCUGUGCCACGGCAGCCCAGGCAGGAACCACCAAGAGAUGUAGCUAUGAGCUGUAGGCAUCAACAGAACACGGAAUCCAGGGCACUGUAGCCCCUGACAGGCAGGGAGAAGCAGAGGUCCAGGGAGAAGCAGAGGUCCAGAAGCUCUUCCUGAUUUGGUCACAGGCCCUGGCUCUCUGCCUGGUAAUGGGGCCGGUUGGGACCACCACGAAGAGCUGACAGGACCACCCACCCCUGAUCUUCAAGCUGCCGCCACUCCAGGACUCAGGAGACUAAGACAAGAGGAUCACACCAGCCCAACGAACAGUAAUGCGGGAGGACUGCAGAAGGAAGGCAUGGGCCUUUCUAUGCAAGCGUGGACACUCAACCUUGCUUCUUGGGAGACAGGUUGACCCUUUCCACCCUACACUGGGAUCCAGGCACGCCCCUCAGCUCAGCACCACUGGACACAUGAGGUCAUCCAAGCAGGACCAGACUCCGAGGUCACCUUCAGUGGCUCACACACAGAGACCACACAUGUCGGCAGCAGGUCGCCAGAGAGCUAUGGGAAGCUGCACACAAGUGUGAGACCUGGCCACAGAAGAGGGCGGGAGAGCCUAGGAAGUGCUGCUCAGCCUCAGUAUAGGCACACAGCAAGUCUUACCCUACGAGGAUCCCUGUCCCCAGGUCAUCCUUCAGAGCCCUCCCUUUCCAUAAGGCCAGCCCUGUAGGAUGCCAAGGGCUUCCAAGCAGAUGGAGUUGCUAAGUGGGAUGCAAGGGGUGCCCCCUCCAUGCCUAAGAUGCUGGGCUCUCUGAGGCAGGAACAGCCAUGGAGCCUCCAUGGUCACCCGACAGUCCAGAAGAGAAGCUGAUAGGUAAGGCGGUGGGGCCACAUGCUAAUAUCCUGGAGCAAGGCAAGAGGUAGCCUUCCUUUCCCAUGGUCCACAAGGGCUGUGAGCCAAUAAAGAAAAUUCUCUAAGACCAGCCUGGCCGUCCUAACUGGAUCCCAGUGGAGAUGGCCAGGGCCCUCUAUGCCCCACCCUGACACCAGCAGAGACCCAGUCAGGAUGUCUCCCAGGCCCAAGUUGCCAACUCACCAGAGCUCAGGCUGGCGACUGAGGGCCCUGCAUCUUCAGAGGAAGAGCAUGCUGGCCAGUAUUAUGUGAACACGGUCCUUUUGUCACUUGUCAUGGAGGCUGGUGGGGUCAUGUGGGGCUUUCAGACGGUUAAAUGCAGCCCUGCCCCCACCACUCCACAUGACGGUUUCUGCUCAGAACUAUGGCAAGGUCCCCAACCAGGUUCUCUUUGUCACCCACUCAGGUCUGGGACCUGCCCCAAUGCCCACCUCCCACUCAAUGGACAGACCCAGGACUCCCAGUCCCAGGACUCUCAACACACAAACUCUCAAGUCCUCAGAUGAACAGCUCACUGCAGCUGCAGGAACCCUGUUAACAGAAGACCAGGAUGAGCUCAGUCCCAGCCUUUCCCACUACACAAGACAGUAUCCCACAGCAACCAGUGGCACUUCAGAGUCACCAAAACCUUUCUAGAAGGCUGGAUAUCAAGUCAGCAUGUCAGCAGAGUUUUCUGUUGGCAUCUUCCAGCCACUAGACAAACUCAUAUUGGCCUUCAAAACCUAGUUUAAGGGAUGGAGAGAUGGCUCAGCAGUUAAGAGCACUGACUGUUCUUCCAAAGCUCCUGAGUUCAAUUCCCAGCAACCACAUGGUGGCUCACAAGGGAUCCAAGGCUCUCUUCUGGUCAGCUACAGCAUACUCAUAGGCAUAAAAUAAAUCUUUAAAAAAA